rnacentral:rRNA from 1 species
CCUACGGGUGGCUGCAGUGGGGAAUAUUGGACAAUGGGGGGAACCCUGAUCCAGCCAUGCCGCGUGUGUGAAGAAGGCCCUCGGGUUGUAAAGCACUUUCAGUGAGGAAGAACGCCUGGUGGUUAAUACCCAUCAGGAAAGACAUCACUCACAGAAGAAGCACCGGCUAACUCCGUGCCAGCAGCCGCGGUAAUACGGAGGGUGCGAGCGUUAAUCGGAAUUACUGGGCGUAAAGCGCGCGUAGGUGGCUUGAUAAGCCGGUUGUGAAAGCCCCGGGCUCAACCUGGGAACGGCAUCCGGAACUGUCAAGCUAGAGUGCAGGAGAGGAAGGUAGAAUUCCCGGUGUAGCGGUGAAAUGCGUAGAGAUAGGGAGGAAUACCAGUGGCGAAGGCGGCCUUCUGGACUGACACUGACACUGAGGUGCGAAAGCGUGGGUAGCAAACAGGAUUAGAUACCCCGGUAGUC